UGUGUACUCCCUCCAUUCCAAAAUACUUGACUUCCAUUUGUCCAAAAAUGGAUGUACCUAUAUACUAAGACAUGUCUAGAUACAUAUAUAUUUUGACAAAUAGAAGGCAUGUAUUGUGCAACGGAGGGAGUAGAAU
rfam:Triticum aestivum genome assembly, contig: Triticum_aestivum_CS42_TGACv1_scaffold_093313_2AL